rnacentral:misc_RNA from 1 species
GAUAAAGAACGUAGCGAAAUGCGAUAAGUAAUGUGAAUUGCAGAAUUCAGUGAAUCAUCGAAUCUUUGAACGCACAUUGCGCCCGCCAGUAUUCUGGCGGGCAUGCCUGUCUGAGCGUCAUUUCAACCCUCAUGCCCCUAGGGCGUGGUGUUGGGGAUCGGCCAAAGCCCGCGAGGGACGGCCGGCCCCUAAAUCUAGUGGCGGACCCGUCGUGGCCUCCUCUGCGAAGUAGUGAUAUUCCGCAUCGGAGAGCGACGAGCCCCUGCCGUUAAACCCCCAACUUUCCAAGGUUGACCUCAGAUCAGGUAGGAAUACCCGCUGAACUUAAGCAUAUCAAUAAGCGGAGGA